rnacentral:rRNA from 1 species
UACGUAGGGUGCAAGCGUUAAUCGGAAUUACUGGGCGUAAAGCGUGCGCAGGCGGUGAUGUAAGACAGUUGUGAAAUCCCCGGGCUCAACCUGGGAACUGCAUCUGUGACUGCAUCGCUGGAGUGCGGCAGAGGGGGAUGGAAUUCCGCGUGUAGCAGUGAAAUGCGUAGAUAUGCGGAGGAACACCGAUGGCGAAGGCAAUCCCCUGGGCCUG